CCUACGGAGGCAGCAGUGAGGAAUAUUGGUCAAUGGACGCAAGUCUGAACCAGCCAUGCCGCGUGAAGGAUGAAGGCGUUCUGCGUUGUAAACUUCUUUUAUCUGGGAAGAAACCUGCCUUUUCUAAGGCAGCCGACGGUACCAGAGGAAUAAGCACCGGCUAACUCCGUGCCAGCAGCCGCGGUAAUACGGAGGGUGCAAGCGUUAUCCGGAUUCACUGGGUUUAAAGGGUGUGUAGGCGGAUAUUUAAGUCCGAGGUGAAAUCUCCGGGCUUAACCCGGAAACUGCCGUUGAUACUAUCUGUCUUGAAUGUAGUGGAGGUGAGCGGAAUAUGUCAUGUAGCGGUGAAAUGCUUAGAUAUGACAUAGAACAUCGAUUGCGAAGGCAGCUCGCUACACUAUUAUUGACACUGAGGCACGAAAGCGUGGGGAUCAAACAGGAUUAGAUACCCCGGUAGUCCACGCCCUAAACGAUGGAUACUCGACAUCAGCGAUACACUGUUGGUGUCUGAGCGAAAGCAUUAAGUAUCCCACCUGGGAAGUACGACCGCAAGGUUGAAACUCAAAGGAAUUGACGG
rnacentral:rRNA from 1 species